GAUAGUGAACCAGUACCGUGAGGGAAAGGCGAAAAGAACCCCGGCGAGGGGAGUGAAAAAGAACCUGAAACCGUGUACGUACAAGCAGUGGGAGCACGCUUAGGCGUGUGACUGCGUACCUUUUGUAUAAUGGGUCAGCGACUUAUAUUCUGUAGCAAGGUUAACCGAAUAGGGGAGCCGAAGGGAAACCGAGUCUUAACUGGGCGUUAAGUUGCAGGGUAUAGACCCGAAACCCGGUGAUCUAGCCAUGGGCAGGUUGAAGGUUGGGUAACACUAACUGGAGGACCGAACCGACUAAUGUUGAAAAAUUAGCGGAUGACUUGUGGCUGGGGGUGAAAGGCCAAUCAAACCGGGAGAUAGCUGGUUCUCCCCGAAAGCUAUUUAGGUAGCGCCUCGUGAAUUCAUCUCCGGGGGUAGAGCACUGUUUCGGCAAGGGGGUCAUCCCGACUUACCAACCCGAUGCAAACUGCGAAUACCGGAGAAUGUUAUCACGGGAGACACACGGCGGGUGCUAACGUCCGUCGUGAAGAGGGAAACAACCCAGACCGCCAGCUAAGGUCCCAAAGUCAUGGUUAAGUGGGAAACGAUGUGGGAAGGCCCAGACAGCCAGGAUGUUGGCUUAGAAGCAGCCAUCAUUUAAAGAAAGCGUAAUAGCUCACUGGUCGAGUCGGCCUGCGCGGAAGAUGUAACGGGGCUAAACCAUGCACCGAAGCUGCGGCAGCGACGCUGAUGCGUUGUUGGGUAGGGGAGCGUUCUGUAAGCCUGCGAAGGUGUGCUGUGAGGCAUGCUGGAGGUAUCAGAAGUGCGAAUGCUGACAUAAGUAACGAUAAAGCGGGUGAAAAGCCCGCUCGCCGGAAGACCAAGGGUUCCUGUCCAACGUUAAUCGGGGCAGGGUGAGUCGACCCCUAAGGCGAGGCCGAAAGGCGUAGUCGAUGGGAAACAGGUUAAUAUUCCUGUACUUGGUGUUACUGCGAAGGGGGGACGGAGAAGGCUAUGUUGGCCGGGCGACGGUUGUCCCGGUUUAAGCGUGUAGGCUGGUUUUCCAGGCAAAUCCGGAAAAUCAAGGCUGAGGCGUGAUGACGAGGCACU
rnacentral:rRNA from 1 species